rnacentral:rRNA from 1 species
UGGGGAAUAUUGGACAAUGGGCGCAAGCCUGAUCCAGCCAUGCCGCGUGAGUGAUGAAGGCCUUAGGGUUGUAAAGCUCUUUCGCCGGUGAAGAUAAUGACGGUAACCGGAGAAGAAGCCCCGGCUAACUUCGUGCCAGCAGCCGCGGUAAUACGAAGGGGGCUAGCGUUGCUCGGAAUCACUGGGCGUAAAGCGCACGUAGGCGGAUCGUUAAGUCAGGGGUGAAAUCCUGGAGCUCAACUCCAGAACUGCCCUUGAUACUGGCGAUCUCGAGUUCGAGAGAGGUUGGUGGAACUCCGAGUGUAGAGGUGAAAUUCGUAGAUAUUCGGAAGAACACCAGUGGCGAAGGCGGCCAACUGGCUCGAUACUGACGCUGAGGUGCGAAAGCGUGGGGAGCAAACAGG